GGAGAUUCGGCAUGGACUCUCCCACCACCAUUAUGAAAGAUACAGAGAGAGAUUAGUCAAUAGAAGGAGAACAAGCUGGCUGAACCAAAGAUUGACUAAAGAUCAGAGCAAUGAAAGAGAAAAGAGGACGAAUUUUUUAAAGGAAUAAACCAACUCAUCCACCUGCUCUUGCAAAGCAGGGAAUCAAUUAUGCCAACAAAGGGAGGCACAAUGAAAAUUGCAGAGAGAAAGCCCAUGAAUGAAUGAGCUUGUGCAGGGUGUGGAUAGAUUGAAAUAUACAGGCUGACCCAGGGGAAGAGAAAGAUGACGCAAGUGGAUGGCAAAGAAAAGGAAGGUGGGUGGCCAAGCAGGUGCCCACAAUGCUGGACAAAUAGGAGCAAUCAGGGGUAGGGACAGAAUUAUUUCCCUUCCAGAGAACUCCCUUUUGAUGCUGAACUAGUUGAGACGCUGGAAUUAGUAUCAGAAGAGGCCACCUGCACCACUUCAGAGCACAGUCAUCCUUC
rnacentral:lncRNA from 1 species